UAACCUGCCCAAGAGAUCGGGAUAACACCUGGAAACAGAUGCUAAUACCGGAUAACAACAGAUGAUGCCUAUCAACUGUUUAAAAGAUGGUUCUGCUAUCACUCUUGGAUGGACCUGCGGUGCAUUAGCUAGUUGGUAGGGUAACGGCCUACCAAGGCGAUGAUGCAUAGCCGAGUUGAGAGACUGAUCGGCCACAUUGGGACUGAGACACGGCCCAAACUCCUACGGGACAGCAGCU
rnacentral:rRNA from 1 species